rnacentral:lncRNA from 1 species
ACCAGCCAAAAUAAAGAAACAGCAACGGGCAGGACAGACCUCUCUGUCAUUCAGGUCCCUCCUUCGGUGAAUGAUACCAUGGUGAGAAAAGCCACUUGCAGAUGAAGUGAAUCCUUGAGAGAGAAUCAGAAGUGGAGCGAUCGUGGGCCUGGCCACCUAAAGCACCAAAAUUGACAGAGACG